rnacentral:rRNA from 1 species
GAGUUUGAUCAUGGCUCAGAUUGAACGCUGGCGGCAUGCCUUACACAUGCAAGUCGAACGGCAGCACGGGAGCUUAGCUCCUGGUGGCGAGUGGCGAACGGGUGAGUAAUGCAGUCGGAACGUAUCCUGGAGUGGGGGAUAACGUAGCGAAAGUUACGCUAAUACCGCAUAUUCUGUGAGCAGGAAAGCGGGGGACCUUCGGGCCUCGCGCUCUUGGAGCGGCCGAUGUCGGAUUAGCUAGUUGGUGAGGUAAAGGCUCACCAAGGCGACGAUCCGUAGCAGGUCUGAGAGGAUGAU